rnacentral:snRNA from 1 species
GUGCUCGCUUCAGCAGCAAGUACACUAAAAUUGGAAUGAUAUGGAGAAGAUCAACACAACCUCUGUGCGAGCGUGACAUGCACAUUUUUGAAGAGUUCAUAUUUUUG